AUUCCCCUAUUGUUUUCUUGUCUAUGCCUGGAGUGUAGCGAAAGAAGUGACCAUGAGCCUUUGGAUCAGGAGGAUCAGAGAUUAACUUGGCAUGUUUCAAGUACUCAAGACCCUUUUUGUUAUCACGGUUGAAAUGGUUUGCAGCAAUUAGCAGUUUCUUUUUCUGAAGUCUUCUCAGCCUUACAUGUUCCACCCAAGCUUCCAAGUAUUUUUCUCUAUCCAUCUCCUCCCAAAAGGGUCUAUACUCAGGCAAUUGAAUUGAGUAUGCACCUACAGAACCUGAAGAACCAUCUUUGUCAAUGUUAUCUGCAAUGUUAUGAAUCAUGAUCAAUAGUCCUUCAAAGGCUUGAAUGUGGAGACUUGUGACAUGCCCAUUCAGUGCAAAUGAGUGCUUGCAAAGCAGCCUCCCAAUCUCCUCAAACACAUUCCGACAACUUGGAUCACAAUCAAAGUUUGCAUACGCUUCAACUAUGAAUGUUGGCUGUCUGCAGAAGUUUAUUAUUCCUUCAAUUGCUACUUCUUGAAGCGCAAUUGUGCUCCCAAAACUUGCAACUCUGAACAGCACGUAUGAAAAGAAUGCUUCCAGUUGGAAUCGGAUAGACCUACAAACACAAAAAAAAACAAAGGUUGUAGUGAGAGUGGAAGAGACCGAGUACGAAGGAAAUGAGAGGACACAGGGAAUGAUGGGAAAAAAUAUUGCCGAAUUGUUUGGUAAAGAAGUGGUAGAGUUAAUUUGCUUUUUCUUGUAUUGUAUAGGUGCAAUUUUUCUAUGGUUAGAAAUUGAUAUUUCAUGAGGA